rnacentral:tRNA from 1 species
GAGGGUAUAGCUCAGUGACAGAGCACUUGCCUAGCAUGCAUGAAGCCCUGGGUUUCAUCCCUAGCAUUGUUU